rnacentral:rRNA from 1 species
CCUACGGGCGGCAGCAGUGAGGAAUAUUGGUCAAUGGACGAGAGCCUGAACCAGCCAAGUCGCGUGAAGGAUGACUGUCCUAUGGAUUGUAAACCUCUUUUCUCAAGGAAUAAAACGCGGCACAUGUACCUCUUUGAGAGUACUUUAAGAAUAAGCAUCGGCUAACUCCGUGCCAGCAGCCGCGGUAAUACGGAGGAUCCGAGCGGUAUCCGGCUUUAUUGGGUUUAAAGGGUGCGUAGGGGGGUUGUUAAGUCAGGUGUGAAAUUUUGCGGCUCAACCGUAAAAAUGCAAUUGAUACUGGCAGUCUUGAGUACAGUGGAGGUAAGCGGAAUUCGUGGGGUAGCGGUGAAAUGCAUAGAUAUCACGAAGAACCCCGAUUGCGAAGGCAGCUUACU